rnacentral:lncRNA from 1 species
AACGAACUGAGUAUACCGCGACACAAGCACACAUCGAUUGUAUAGAUACCUGUUGAAUGCCGGAAUCAGAGUCAGCGGCACGUUGGCGGUCAACUAAAUCGAAAAGGGGCAAACGAACCGAUGGGAAAGUACAACCUUCUCUAAUACGUCGACGUGUACUUUCUCGAUCGAUUGAUUUUUUCGUCCGUUAAACUUUUUCUCGACCGAUUUACUCGAUGCUGCGAAUUGAUGGACGUAAAAAUAAAAGAACUCGGUGGAUCAGAACCACGCGAAUCGUUUAGUUGUCAGAGAUUCAUGGAUCCAUGAUCAUUUCUUUUACUCGCUUUGAAUAGAACUACACUCUAGACUUGCAGGGCCUCUGUCGUUGUUGAAAACAUUCGAUAGUAAAUUUAUUCGAACAAAACUGCAAAAUAACAUUUUUUUCAAUGCUGAUAAAGAUGCGAAUGGAGGCAUGAAUCUCGACUGCCUAGUAUUAGGAUUGCAGGAAUACAACUAAUGGAACAUAAGAACGUAUCAGUAAUUUGCGCAAACAAUAAUGAAACCCAGUUUUUAAACCUGUUAUUCGUAGUCGCACUCUGAUGGUAUUCUCGAUGCGUCGGUAAAAUGUAAUUUAGCUGCUGAGUAAAAGACCAUGGAAUUCUGAAAUUGACUGCGACCAUGGCCGCACAGACUGGAAUCGUGUGGUUUUCCUCGACAAGUAGACGUGAAAGAAAAAGAAUACUCCGAAAGGCUUGUUGCAGUCUCCUACUGGCGAAGGACACCGUUCAAACGUGGAUUAUAAUAAUUUGAUCUUAUUCGACAAAUAUUCUUAUGCACGAACCCGAAGGAUUAUGAGGAUCUGCAAAUAGGACCAAUAAUCAUUUAAACAAAGCACAACUUUGUAUUUACAGGUAUAGAAGUACCGAAGUCUUGGCACCACUUGGAUCUUUCGUAAAAGAAAGAUACCGAGAGCUGUAAUUAAAAGGAGCCUUUGCGACGAACGUAGCACAAGUUAUACAUAUGUAUACGCGGGUCUCCGAUUCGUCGAGACAAUGAGGAAUCCUUGUCAUUUAAUUAUAAUGAUUUAUUUAUUAUAAAAUUAUGCGUCCAACAAAUUGUAAAGGAAUAUAUGCAUGCAUGGAAUCGAAUCGAUCGUACAGGCGAUCGUUAAAGAAAAAUUCUUUUGCGAUUGAACAUUGAUAUACAGUUCUUUAAUCUUUUUUUAGGUUCGAAGCGAAUCACUGUACAGGUGGAUCUUCUUUUUCUUUAUUUAACAUUUUAUCUUUCUCCGUCGAACGGAUGGUCAAAUAAACGUUUAUAUAAGGAAGAGCAAAGAACAUUUCUACGAGUUUCAAGCUGCCGAGAAUCUUCUCUUGGAGUCGAAAUCCUUGUUCUCCCUUACAUAAUAAAAAUCUUCGUUCAUUCUUCGCUUAACUUUUCUUACCUAUAAAAUACUCGAUUUGUUGACUGUUUCUUUCGUCAUAAAAAACGUAUAAAACAUUGCUUAAAAUGAAUGUUUAAACUUACUCGAGGUAACCCAUACGUGUAUUACAAGGAAACAAUCUACGCAUCGAAUGAAAUCAAAUUUCAUUGUCUGUUUGUUUUUUUUUUAAUCUUUUCUCUCGCUUUACACGCUUCCCUUUUUAAGCCUGGCACGGAGCGCAAACACGGAAGUCGAAGGCAUUCCAUAAUACUCGACCAACGAUGAGCCAGUAACAGUCUUCUGAAGUUUCAAGCACGACAAGAUCGAUGGAGUUUCUGACCUAUUUAUGAAAUUUACAAACUCCAAAAAUAUAUCUUAAGUGAUACGUGUGAAAGAAUAGACGCAGUAAAAGACGAUACCUUGAAACAUGCAUUAUCGGAGAGACGCUUCUCUCCUUCUCGAAUAUUAUUAUCUACUAUUUCUUUUCUCUCUUUUUACGAUUGACUUCAACAAUUGAAACAUACAAUGUAAUCCCGAUAACCCAUACUAAUCCACAGAAUUGCAACUAAAUAACGAAUAAAAAAGAGAAUUAUCGAACAAAACGUUAAGUAAGCGAAUAGUUUACACGGAUAAUUUAAGUCCUUGUUACGCUUAUCUAGAGGUAUCCUAUUAAAUAAUGCAAGCUACUCGAACAGAAGAGUUUUAAUAAAAAUACUGUUUUUUAUUGUUAAAUAUUUCUCGCUAGAAAGGUACAGUUUUUUUCGUCGUUGUAAAUCUUUUUCAAGAUUUACGCUCACGAGGCCCAUCGAGAUUACACUGUACUUGAUAAUAAUAAAAGCAUAUUAUCGACAUGAGUACUUAUAUCGCGAAUGGUUUCCGUAACAAAAACAGCCAUUCUCUUCUUUUUCGAUGGGACGAUUAAAUAGUAAAUAAUCUUUUUUUUUUUUUAAUAUUUAUCUCAUUUGGUUUUAAUUUCCGUCAUUUAAUAAUACGUGCUAAUCGUAUCUAUUCUCAACAAGUUCAUCCCUUACAAUGAUUAAUAUAACAGCCUGCCAGCAGCGCAAAGACUAAAGAUAUUUCAUUUUGUUCGCUCUUCUCUUUUUUUAAUCUUCAUCAUUUGUUUCUAUGCUUCGCAUUCCUUUUUUUUAUUUUUUCAUUUUUGUCAGCGACAAACUAGUAUAUAACUUCUUUUUCUUUCUUUCUUUGAAAUAACCGCAAAAUCUUACGAGGCAACGACGUAACGUACGUAUAAGCAUUCCUGGAAAAAUUCAUGAUGUCAAUUUAUACUAUUCGGUAACGUCACGUAAAACUCGUUGCUUUGUUUGUUACUUUUUUUUUCUUUUAACGACUCUUAAUUAUAGGCCUCUGGUAGAGGCGAUUCUUGCGAAUGCGUUCCACAGGCAUCUAGGCACGACAGAUAUAAAAGUAGUACGUUCAGGAAUAUUCAGAUUUAUAACAAUCGAUAUUCUAAAAUAGUGCUAUCACGUUGAUCUAACUCUAA